rnacentral:rRNA from 1 species
CCAGCUUGCUGGGUUGGAUGAGUGGCGAACGGGUGAGUAACACGUGAGUAACCUGCCCCCUUCUUUGGGAUAACGGUCGGAGACGGCUGCUAAUACCGGGUAUUCACUGUCCUUCGCAUGGGGGGUGGUGGAAAGGUUUUUUCUGGUGGGGGAUGGGCUCGCGGCCUAUCAGCUUGUUGGUGGGGUGAUGGCUUACCAAGGCUUUGACGGGUAACCGGCCUGAGAGGGUGACCGGUCACAUUGGGACUGAGAUACGGCCCAGACUCCUACGGGAGGCAGCAGUGGGGAAUAUUGCACAAUGGGCGAAAGCCUGAUGCAGCGACGCCGCGUGAGGGAUGACGGCCUUCGGGUUGUAGACCUCUUUCGCUCAUGGUCAAGCCGCAACAGUGGUUGUGGUGAGGGUAGUGGGUAAAGAAGCACCGGCUAACUACGUGCCAGCAGCCACGGUAAUACGUAGGGUGCGAGCGUUGUCCGGAAUUAUUGGGCGUAAAGGGCUUGUAGGCGGUUUGUCGCGUCUGCCGUGAAUCCUCUGGCUUAACUGGGGGCGUG